rnacentral:rRNA from 1 species
UGAGUAACACGUUGGUGACCUGCCCCGAAGCGGGGGAUAACUCUGGGAAACCAGAGCUAAAACCCCAGAUGUUUAAGGGUUUAGACGCCUUAAACUAAAACUGCGGUGCUUCGGGAGGGGCCUGCGGGCUAUCAGCUAGUUGGUGGGGUAAAAGCCUACCAAGGCGAAGACGGCUAGGGGGCGUGAGAGCGUGACCCCCCACAAUGGAACUGAGAAACGGUCCAUACUCCUACGGGAGGCAGCAGUGAGGAAUAUUGAGCAAUGGGCGCAAGCCUGACUCAGCAACGCCGCGUGGAUGAUGACGGCCUUCGGGUUGUAAAAUCCUUUUCUGAGGGAAGAUAAUGACGGUACCUCAGGAAUAAGUUCCGGCUAACUACGUGCCAGCAGCCGCGGUAAAACGUAGGGGACAAGCGUUAUCCGGAUUUACUGGGCGUAAAGCGCAUGUAGGUGGCUUGACAAGUUGGACGUGAAAGCUCCCGGCUUAACUGGGAGAGGUCGUUCAAAACUGUCAGGCUUGAGG